CUCAAUGUGCUGGGACGGAUAGAACUGACACAACAUGGAUAACGCCUGUGAAAAUGCCAGAGCAAGAGAAUGGAAUAAUGAUGAUGGAUACAGCCACCAUAAUAUGGCUCAGUGGGAAAGUGCUCCCCCUGCUGGUGAAAGACAGUACCUCACCCAACAGGAAAGGGAACGCCAGUGGCUGAACCAUGAGAAAGAAGCUGCCAUACGGGCCCACUACAACUCCCUUAGACAAAACUCUCCAAUGGACUUCCGUGGACAUGGGGCACAAGAGACCCAGCCGCCGCAUCUGUAUCAUCAGGACCAUCACAGAAUGGCUCCGAGUCAGAACAUAAGGGAUUGGCCAAAUCUCAAUGGACCCCUGAGAGGCCAGGCAUCCCCUAAUGUAACCUUACACCGCAGUGGAGAGAGAACAGAAACAUGGGCUAAACAUGAACCCCACUUCCCCAGCUAUGAGUUUUUACCCCCACUCAUUGUCGAAAGAGGGGAUGAGGAUAUAACCCAUCACCAUAAAGCUGACCGGGAUUAUAUGGUUGGUCGGAUAGUGAAUCAUAACAAUCUCCAUUGCUUGGAAAGCAAAUGGCAGAUGUUAGAUCCCACCCAUUCAAAUGGACAUGCUAGAGGACAUUUUAAUGAACAUUCAAGGGGACAUUCUAAUUCCUAUUCCAGGAUUCAUUCUACUGAAUGCUCAAAGGGAAGUUCUAGGGGUAGGUCUAGUGGACGUUCUAGGGGUGGCUCUAGUGGACGUUCUAGGGGUGGCUCUAGUGGACGUUCUAGGAGUGGCUCUAGUGGACGUUCUAGGGGUGGCUCUAGUGGACGUUCUAGGGGUGGCUCUAGUGGAAGUUCUAGCGUCUAUUCCAGCAGGUCUCCCAGGCUGGACUUCCAGGCUAAGCAUGUCAACCCUUUUCAAUCUAUGACCAACAGUUCUCCAGACAUUCAGAAUGCCAACAUCACUCCAACUGUUCCUAUGGUCAACAACAAACACAGUGAAACAACAUCAGGACAUACAACUGCUCCUGCGAGAUAUUCUACAUCACUUGUUUUUACAGAUUUCCCUUCCACGGGAGGUACAGAAUCUGGUGUUGUUGACCUAAAAGCAGCCCAGGUAACACAUGCAGACACCCAUGGUAUACUAGGACCUAGUGUUCCUUCCCAAGCCAUAACACAACAUACAGAUCAUCUUCCUGGCAAUGCUGCUCUGGUUUCUCACACACAGACCUCUACCACCCCUGAACAGCAACAUGCUUCCUCUCCUUCUCUCACUGACACCCCUCAGGAAAAACCUCAUAAACAUAAGAUCUCGCUCAAGGAAAUACAGCACUGGCCCCAGAGUGUUUUAAGAUCUAAAAAUGGACCUGUAAAUGGGAAUAACUCAACACAAGACCCCUCUCAGUCCCUACAAUUCAGCACAGAGAAGAUGUAUGUUUUACAAGCAGGCAAAACACAACUACAUCUAAACACCAAAGACUACCAGGCGAGACCCCCUGAGAGGUUUAGUGAUGAGGACUCCACUAUACGGCUGGAGAUUAAGUCCACCCCCAGGUACAUGACCCUGAUGGCAGUCGCUACCGCUCCGCCGCCCCCCGUGGCUAUCGUCCCGCCAAUGGGUCCACAGCAGUCCCCAGAGCCCAUGGAGACAGAGAAUGCAGGCAAUGAGCUGCCAUUUAAGAUUUUACAGGCCUGGUCCAUCAACGAAAAACAGGCAGAAAACCUGUGGGAAAGAGCUAAAGAUGAUGCAAGUUCUCUCUCUGUCCUAAAUGAGAUGGUUCAAGUUGAGAGUCUUCUGGAGUGUGAUAAACCUGUAGAUGCAUCUGCAACAAGUUCAAUGGCAUCUACAGGAGAGGACAAUGAUGAUGUCCUUCAGGUCAUCACACAAAUGGACAAGAGAUCACCUUCACCAUUUGUCCACACCAACCCUCAGGCAACUGAUAUUGUAUGCAUCGGUGGUGCCCAGAUAAUCGUGGAAGGUAGCUCUAAUGUUCCAGAUGAGAGCACUCUUGAUUUGUCCACAAUUGCUGAAGUUCAGUUCAAGUUAUGUGCGCUGCAGAGACUGGUUACUUAUCUGGAGAGUUCGACAACAGUCACAGAGGCAAAGGAUGGUUGUCUCGAGGCCAUAUUGGAGUUGUAUUGGGGAGGGGAUACCUCUAACCUGUUAGAAGCUUUAAAAGAUAAAAUGGAUGAGAAAAUCAUGCAGGAUGUGUCUGCCUGGGCCACAGAGGAUGAGAAGGCCGUGGUUUUCUUUGCAGUCAGUGGUAUAUCACUAGGGGAAGUGCUCGAGAAGUUUCCUAUUCCAGUACAUGUUGACACCUCUUCCCAAGUGGGUUACAGGUCGUCAUGGUUAAAUAUCAACGAGAAGCUGAAUGACAUUGACGAAGAUUCUGGAAGAGCUUGGUCUCUGUGGUUCAUACCAGAUAAAGCAGAGGACAGUUCCAAAGUGGUUGGGGGUGUCCAGAUGGAUGACACCUUCCACAGCAAGAUGGAGACUGUGGAAUUUCCUGCAGAAGCAACAGACUCAGACCUCACAACAAACACACACCUCACGAUGGACGUAGACCCCCCAACAAACACAGACCUCCCAACAAACGCAGACUUAGAGACAGAACCCCUUUCCCCAAUGAUUUUGACCGUCCUCACACCAGAGGACGCUGUGAAACUGCUUGCUGAAACAGAGGCACCAGACACAGACCUCAAAACGGUCGUAGACCUCACAACAGACUCGGACACAGAACCCCUUUCCCCAAUGAAUUUGACCAUCCUGACAUCUGAGGAUGCCAUGAGACUGUUUUGCCAGAUCGAGAAUGGCUCUGACCUCCAAUUCGCGUCCCCUGAAUCCUGCUCUAAAAACAAAGAUAAGACACAGACAAACCAACUAGAGAAUAUAGAAAGUGGCAGCUUAGAUAAGUCCUGGCACUGUCCUUGUGGUAUUGAAACUGACAAUGGGUUUGAAAUGGGCCUAUGCUCCACUUGUCAGAGAGAGAAAGGAUUGCAGCAAGGUACAAGAUGCAUAACAAUCGCUCACUGCUUUACCAUGUCACAUAGAAAUGAUCAGGAGACAGAGGUCCCUAAGGACUCUGGGGGGAAGGUGACUGCUGUUGACAAUCAAUGCAGGGACAAGAAGCAGAUACAUUCAACUGAAGAAGAGGGUGAUGACAAUAAGACACAGGGUGAAAUGCAGCAAUGGACAGGCGUCAUACCGAUCAUUGACUUUUUUUUCUGGUCAGAUACAAGUGAGGAUUCAGAUCAGGAGACAGAGGAGAGCUAUAAUGAACAACAUGCUCAGAUUGAGGCUCAUGCUUCUAAUGUGAAAAGGACAGAGCCUGAAACUGAUGCCAAAGCACCAUGUGAGUCAGCCCAAGAACGUACGACCCAAAGCAAAGUCUGUCCUGGUUCUGAGGAUAGGGAAAGAUGGCAAGAGAAGGACCAAGACUGUAGGAUGAGUACAUUACCACUUCCCAAGGUUGAAAACCCCUCUAAGUUAAGAGCUAACAUCAUAGCAGACAACUGGUGUUCACCUAUAGAGGACUGUGGUUCACCUGUAGAAAAGUAUGACAAAGUUGCUGACUUUGUCACCCAAUACAAAACCUGCAAGUCAAAGCAAAAAGGACAUAAAAAAAUGGAAAAGGAGAAGUCCCUCCAUCCAACGUCAUCUGACAGGCAAAGUUACAAGAAAAGCCAUGGGAGAGCAGAGAGGGGAAGGACACCAUCCCAAACCACUAAGUGCUCUGGGUUGAAGGCAACUGUGGAUAAUCAAUGCAGGGACAGGAAGCCACAUGCAUCACACAAGACGAGACAUUCAACUGAGAGUGAUGGAAAUCGAUGUAAAGACAAGAAGAGGGGAUCAUCAACUGUGAAAGCGUGUGAGGGCUGUCAAUCCAGGGACAAGAAGCCACCGAAGAGGAGACAUUCAACUGAGAAAGAGAGAGAGGACAAUCAAAGUAGGGACAAAAUGUCAUCGAAGAGGAGAAAUUCAACUGAAACUGACGGCAGGAACUCAGACUCCAAAGAGUUACAGUGCCAGUUGGUGGACAUAGAGAGGGCCAGUGGAAACUCACUCCCAUGCCCUGGGGUGAAAACCCUCCAUGUGCAGGGAUCCUCAACCACCACCAUUCCUCUCAAAAUCUCCAUAAACAUCCCCAAAAAGCCUUCCAUAAACGCCUCACCCUCAAAACAUACUGAAGUCCCCAGAAUGCCAAAGACUAAAGCCCAGAACAAAACUAACAGACACUGCUCCCCUGCAAAGUCAAUGUCUCCUGUUGUCAAAGAGCGGCAGAGGAACGACAUCAAACACAAGCAAAAAAUUAAAUGCCAAAAAGUCAGAUUGAAAAAGCUGUCCUUACCCAAAGAUCUUGUCAGGAAAGGUUCUCCACCAAGCCGGAAGAGCGAGGAAGAUUCUCCACCAAGCCGGAAGAGAGAGAAAGGUUCCCCACCAAGGCAGAAGAGGGUGGCGGAUAGAGGAGAGUCUGGGGGUUUAGGGAUAAUGGUCUCUAAGAUUCCUGACUCGUCCAAGAAACUAAAACCUACGGCAGAGAGUGACUUGACAUCCCAACAGAAAUUGACACAGAUUCCGAAGGUGUUGAAAAAGAUUGAGAAAGGAAGGUUGUCAAAAAGUGAGUGUGAGUACGACUCGCUGCCCCCCAAGCCAAAGCUGCCAAGGAUUCCGAAGCUUCCGAGGACUCCAGAGGUUUCAAAGGAUUGGUGUGAGAGAGAGAACAGAGAAGAGACAUAUCCCAGUGCUUCACCUGAAUCACAAACGCUGAACAAAUCUGCAAGAGUGGCACACAAGCCCAAACCUUUUAUCAAGCCUGCCAGGCCCAAUGGUUAUAGCCCAGGUAGUCAUGCUUGCCCUAAUACGGCCAUGGUGUCACCGGAACAUGACAACCGCCAUUUUGGGGCAAAAGUCUCUGCGAGGCAGCAAGUGUUCUCAGAUUGGGAGAGCAGCUUUGUCACGACACCAAUCCCCCGGACUCGCAGGCGAUCAGGGUGUCCUCCAGAGGAAGUGGAAGGUUCACAAGCCAGUCCCAGGUCCAGCUCGGAGACCAGGAUCAUCCGACCCAUUCUAAAACGUGUCGAUGCUCCGCCGAAACCCAAGCGGAACAUCAGCUUUCCUUUGAAUCCAAGGAACGUGCACUACUUCAAGCCCUGUGAAUAUGAAAAUUACGUCAUGUUCAACAGGUCUUACACAGAUCCGGAAGAUGCACAGCGCUCUGAUGAUGAAGAGGAAGAUGCUUCUGUGAACUGCCAGAACAAGAAGAAACAGCCCCCCGUUAUGGAAGUGAAGCAGCAAGAUAUAGGGGAGCUGAAGCCUGGACCAAGCGGUUUAUGUGAAAAGCGCUUCAAAAGGAAGUGGGAAAUGCAGGAGCCUGCUGCCAUUUUGAUGAAGGAGAGCAUUGUUCAGGCAAAGCAUUGGACGAAGUCUCUCCAUCGUGAUCCUCCAAAAGAAUUCAGACACUCAGCAAAAAUAACUGGAGUUGGUUACAUCAAGUCAGAGAAGCAGAAGAGGCCAAAUGAAAUUGAAGGUAUGUCGCAGGCUAUGCUAGCCUCACAUCGUAGGCUACUUUUACAAUUGCACCAAUGAUUUCCCAGUAUUUCAAACUGUUGUAUAUGUAUUUUUACUUUGAUAAAAAUGUCAGAUCUAGACAGUUCGAUGUUGGGUUCUGAUUGGAAUCAUCUAGAUCAGUAGUUCCCAAACUUUUUAUCGUCCCUUACCCUUCAAACAUUCAACCUCCAGCUGCGUACCCCCUCUAACACCAGGGUCAGUGCACUCACAAAUGUUGUUUUUUGCCAUCAUUGUAAGCCUGCCUCAAACUCAACAUGUGUUACAUUUAUUAAACAUAAGAAUGAGUGUGAGUUUGUCACAACCCGGCUCAUGGGAAGUGACAAAGAGCUCUUAUAAGACCAGGGCACAAAUACAGUGCCUUGCGAAAGUAUUCGGCCCCCUUGAACUUUGCGACCUUUUGCCACAUUUCAGGCUUCAAACAUAAAGAUAUAAAACUGUAUUUUUUUGUGAAGAAUCAACAUCAAGUGGGACACAAUCAUGAAGUGGAACGACAUUUAUUGGAUAUUUUAAACUUUUUUAACAAAUCAAAAACUGAAAAAUUGGGCGUGCAGAAUUAUUCAGCCCCUUUACUUUCAGUGCAGCAAACUCUCUCCAGAAGUUCAGUGAGGAUCUCUGAAUGAUCCAAUGUUGACCUAAAUGACUAAUGAUGAUAAAUACAAUCCACCUGUGUGUAAUCAAGUCUCCGUAUAAAUGCACCUGCACUGUGAUAGUCUCAGAGGUCCGUUAAAAGCGCAGAGAGCAUCAUGAAGAACAAGGAACACACCAGGCAGGUCCGAGAUACUGUUGUGAAGAAGUUUAAAGCCGGAUUUGGAUACAAAAAGAUUUCCCAAGCUUUAAACAUCCCAAGGAGCACUGUGCAAGCGAUAAUAUUGAAAUGGAAGGAGUAUCAGACCACUGCAAAUCUACCAAGACCUGGCCGUCCCUCUAAACUUUCAGCUCAUACAAGGAGAAGACUGAUCAGAGAUGCAGCCAAGAGGCCCAUGAUCACUCUGGAUGAACUGCAGAGAUCUACAGCUGAGGUGGGAGACUCUGUCCAUAGGACAACAAUCAGUCGUAUAUUGCACACAUCUGGCCUUUAUGGAAGAGUGGCAAGAAGAAAGCCAUUUCUUAAAGAUAUCCAUAAAAAGUGUCGUUUAAAAUUUGCCACAAGCCACCUGGGAGACACACCAAACAUGUGGAAGAAGGUGCUCUGGUCAGAUGAAACCAAAAUUGAACUUUUUGGCAACAAUGCAAAAUGUUAUGUUUGGCGUAAAAGCAACACAGCUGAACACACCAUCCCCACUGUCAAACGUGGUGGCAGCAUCAUGGUUUGGGCCUGCUUUUCUUCAGCAGGGACAGGGAAGAUGGUUAAAAUUGAUGGGAAGAUGGAUGGAGCCAAAUACAGGACCAUUCUGGAAGAAAACCUGAUGGAGUCUGCAAAAGACCUGAGACUGGGACGGAGAUUUGUCUUCCAACAAGACAAUGAUCCAAAACAUAAAGCAAAAUCUACAAUGGAAUGGUUCAAAAAUAAACAUAUCCAGGUGUUAGAAUGGCCAAGUCAAAGUCCAGACCUGAAUCCAAUCGAGAAUCUGUGGAAAGAACUGAAAACUGCAGUUCACAAAUGCUCUCCAUCCAACCUCACUGAGCUCGAGCUGUUUUGCAAGGAGGAAUGGGAAAAAAUGUCAGUCUCUCGAUGUGCAAAACUGAUAGAGACAUACCCCAAGCGACUUACAGCUGUAAUCGCAGCAAAAGGUGGCGCUACAAAGUAUUAACUUAAGGGGGCUGAAUAAUUUUGCACGCCCAAUUUUUCAGUUUUUGAUUUGUUAAAAAAGUUUGAAAUAUCCAAUAAAUGUUGUUCCACUUCAUGAUUGUGUCCCACUUGUCCCAAAAAAAUACAGUUUUAUAUCUUUGUUUGAAGCCUGAAAUGUGACAAAAGGUCGCAAAGUUCAAGGGGGCCGAAUACUUUCGCAAGGCACUGUAAUAAUAAUCAAUCAUUUUGCUCUUUAUUUAGCCAUCUUACAUAUAAAACCUUAUUUGUUCAUCCAAAAUUGUGAAUGCUAAUGAGAAGGGUGUGCUUGAAGGGAUGCACAUAAAUCUGCAAUGUUGGGUUGUAUUGGAGAGUCUGUCUUAAAUCAUUUCCCACAGACACAGCCUGUAUUUAGCUUUCAUGCUAGUGAGGGCCGAGAAUCCACAAUCACAUAGGUACGUGGUUGCAAAGGGAAACAGUGUCUUAACAGCGCGAUUUGCCAAGGCAAGAAACUUUGAGCGCAGCCCUAUCCAGAAAUCGUCCCCACAGUGAGUGUACGUACAUACCCCAACCAGAAGCCAUGGAUUACAGGCAAUAUUUGGGUGUAGAGCUGCCGCUUUCAAGAAGCGGGACUCUAACCUGGAAGCCUAUAAGAAAUCCCGCUAUGCCCUUUGACAAACCAUCAAACAGGCAAAGCGUCAAUACAGAACUAAGAUCGAAUCGUACUACAAUGCUUGUCUCCGAUGCUUGUCGGCUCCGAUGCUUGUCGGAUGUGGCAGGGCUUGCAAACUAUUACAGACUACAAAGGGAGGCACAGCCGAGAGCAGUCCAGUGACACAAGCCUACCAGAUGAGCUAAAUAACUUCUAUGCUCGCUUCAAAGUAAGUAACACUGAAACAUGCAUGAGAGCAUCAGCUGUUCCGGGCGACUGUGUGAUCUCGCUCUCCACAGCUGAUUUGAGUAAGAUAUUUAAACAGGUCAACAUUCACAAGGCCGCAGGGCCAGACGAUUUACCAGUGCGUGUACUCCGAGCAUGUGCUGAGCAACUGGAAAGUGUCUUCACUGACAUUUCAACCUCUUCCUGCCUGAGUCUGUCAUGCCAACAUGUUUCAAGCAGAUCACCAUAGUCCCUGUGCCCAAGACCACUAAGGUAACCUGCAUAAAUGACUACCGACCCGUAGCACUCACGUCGAUAGCCAUGAAAUGCUUUGAAAGGCUGGUCAUGGUUCACAUCAACACCAUUAUCCCAGAAACCCUAUACCCACUCCAAUUUACAUACCGCACCAACAGAUCCACAGAUGAUGCAAUCUCUAUUGCACUCCACACUGCCCUUUCCCACCUGGACAAAAUGAACACCUAUGUGAGAAUGUUAUUCAUUGACUACAGCUCAGCGUUCACCACCAUAGUGCCCUCAAAGCUCAUCACUAAGUUAAGGGCCCUGGGACUAAACAAAUCGCUCUGCAACUAGAUUCGGGACUUCCUGACGGCCGCCCCCAGGUGGUAAGGGUAGUUAACAACACAUCUGCCACGCUGAUCCUCAACACGGGGGCCCCUCGGGUGCAUGCUCAGUCCCCUAAUGUACCCAGUGUUCACUCAUGACUGCACUGCCAGGCACAAAUUCAACACUAUCUUUAAGUUUACUGAUGACACAACAGUGGUAAGCAUGAUCACUGACAACGAUGAGACAGCCUAUAGGCAGGAGGUCAGAGACCCGAACGUGUGGUGCAAGGACAACAACCUCUCCCUCAAUGUGAUCAAGACAAAGGAGAUGAUUGUGGACUAUAGGAAAAGGAGAACCGAGCACGCCCUCAUUCUCAUCGACGGGGAUGU
rnacentral:lncRNA from 13 species